CAUUGUGGAAGGAAGUGUCUACAAGCAGCCCAUUAAACACGAAGCCCUGCUGUUGAGUCUCGUGGAUGCCGUCAUGCAGGGAAGCCUUGUCUGGAGGUGUGCAAUGCCAGGGGAGCAACUCACCAAAGAAGUUCUUGUGAUAUGCUGGUGGUUUCCUGCUGCUUCUGUGGACGCGCAGAUCAUCGGAUCCUUGCAGUUUCUUUUGGAUCAAACUGCCACUGCUGAUUUGUGUUGGUGUUUUGCUAGAGGACUGGACUGCUGACAGUAGAGAUUGGAAUCACCCCAAAGAACUAUUUCUAAGCAGAUCCACAACCCCCAUUUCCUGUUAGCCUUUCUUUUCCACUACCU
rnacentral:lncRNA from 1 species